AAAGCUGAAUCGUUGCUCAAGCAAUACCUGUGGGGUAGAAAAACUCAGGAACCUGAAAACUGGCUGGGGAACAAUGCAAAUAUUUCAGUAAAAUGUGCUCAGUUUCAUGCAUGCUUUAACUGUCCCAGGAAAGCAGAUCUGCAGCUGGGGAUACCUGACUACAAUCUACAGUUUACACGGUUUGUUCUUCAAAAAUAAUAACCUCUACAUUUGAAAAGUAGAUUCUCUUCUGUUUUACCCUCUUUCACAGGAGCAAGGCCAUCAAUGGACACUGUAAGACCCUCUCAUGGUAUUGUUAAUACUAAUACUAAUAAUUAUAAUAAUAUGAGGGCAAUUAUUGCCCUUUUCCCCUCCCUGAGUGCCCUGGCAGCAGGAAAGGAGAUCCUCACCUGGGACACUCCUUCUUUCCUCAAACAGAUCCUUUCCCCCUCAUUGCAAGCACCUGAAGGAAACAGCUGCAAGCCCUAAAACCUCCAGCCCCUCACUGCUCCAAAUUCAGCCUGCCCUGAGCCAGGUGGUCUCCACUGGAAGAGCCACAGAAAAGGGGAAGUUUUGGGAGAGAUCAAAGAGGAGCUUUGGCUCUCCUCCUUCCAGAGGAAGAGUAGUCGAUAUAUUUAAUUGCAGCUGGGACUUCCACUUCUCUUCUUGGCAGACAGUCUUCUUUAAAAUCUUUCCUUAUCAAUUCACAAACAUGGGUUAUAUGGAUGUGAAAUGAUUUGCUGAAAGCCACCCUGCAGAGAUGACAUAAAAAGAAAUCUCCAGUUCUGGACUCCAUCAGGCCAUGACAGACUCUGAUCCAUCGAAUUGGUUUUCCCCCAAUCUUUCAAUGCCAUAUAUUAUUACAAGCCUUUCAUUUAAUAAAAAUAAUGGGCUUGGAAGUUGUGCAGAACCUCUACAAGAAUGAAAGAGCCCUGUGUGCUCUUUGUUCUGUGCACAGCCACAAGGUGCAGCUUGUCCCUUCAACAUGUGCACCACUGAUGGAGACAAAAGGUUUCUGAAGUGACCCCUAGUGACCUGUGACCACUGAACCAAGGCUUUAUUGCUCUAUGUGAUCAGUGUGUAUGCUCACACUUGGUCCCCCAAAAAGACAGGACAAGAUCUGGGAGCAAAGCAUGCAGAUUUGACAGGGUGGAUGUACUCUGAACAGUUCUGGGGCUUUUUUUUGGGCUUUAUGUAUACAACUAUGAUGUGAAUUCUCAUCUGGUUGACUCAGUCUCUUUUUCCAUUUGUGCUAGGCAAAGCACCCCUGCAAACCCACAAGUACAUCACUGUCAAGCCAGCAAGCUGAGACAGAGAGAAUAUUCACCUGCAAAGUCAGCUUGAUUCAGUGCUCAUCAGACAGCACACAGGUGUUAAAGGCAGGAUUGUAUCUGUGAUUUUUCAGCACAAAAACCAUUGUGUUCCUUCAGGCUACAUAACCACUCUGAUGUCGAUUUCCUCCUGGUGGAGUAUUCCAGGACAAGGGAAAGCAUUCAUUUUCCAUGGAAGUCACUGAGACUGGAAAAUAGGAAGAAUCAGACUUUCUCCCCAGACUUCACAUUCUCCUUGGCUCCUGCCAGCUCCAGACCUCCAGACUGACAUGGGAGCAGUCUCUCCCGAGGAAUUCUGCUGCCCCUGGUUCUCGCUGACAUCAAGAAGUGUUGAGGUAGCUAUAGCCUAGGAUGAUGCUCAGGGCAAGUUCAACUUAAACAGCAUGUGCUCAAGCACCCUCAACAUUGCUUAAACUCUGCAAGGAUGAUAAUUCAGCACGAGAAAACAGAGAUGGUUUUACCAGGAAAUCAUUGGAAAUGAGGACCCUGAGGUCACCCAGUCUGCCCUGUGACAGUUCAGCUAUAGCUGCUCUUGGCAGGUGUUUAUCUUGUGGGUCUGAGGCUCCAGUGAUUCCCACAGCAGCCUGUUCCAGGGGUCUGUCAUCCUUGCUGCUGGGUGUUUGGCCUUAAGCUCUAACUGGAUGCUCCUCACUGCAAUUUAAAGACCAUUGCUUUGCUUCUGUUGUAAGCACAACUACAUCUUACACAUUGGAGAAUGCUACUUGUUGCUGUCUCAGUCUUCAGGAGCUCCAAGCAGAGUGGAGUGAUCACUACAGCUGAUACUUGGUUUUAGACACACUGGUAUGAUAUUUUCCCUAUUUGCCACAGGCUGAUUUGACUCAUGGUCACAGCUUCUGAUUCAUUAUACCCCUCAAGUCCUUGCUGGACAGAGUGAUUCUCAGCCAGACAACCCCCAGCCUGUGCUCACACCAUUAACAUCUUCUGCCUGACUGCCAAAAUUUCCACUAGUCAAUGUUGUACCACAACCUUUUUCUAAAUAGAAGUCAAAGAAUAAUUCUAAAUAGAUGUGAAAGAAUCUUUUUCUUGAAAGAAUAGUCAUCUCAUACCACAUCUCCAAGUCACCAUGAUCAUUUUGAAUUCUUAUUCCACUCUCUGAACACUUCUUGUCCAUCCCAGCAUAAAAACACUAUUUUCCAACCCAUCAUGAAAAUUAUCAAUUAUGUUGCCCCAUGUCUGUCAGAGCUCAGGGAUUAACAAAAGGUAUUUGCAUCUUGAACCAUUGUCUCUCUAUCCCUGUCUUUCUUCUCUGCCCUGUUCUUCUCUCCUGACUCAUUUUCCAAGUAGAUCCUCUUUGAUACUUUCCUGAGCAUGUAGCUUUCCCAAAAAUAGUUCCUGACUGAACUGGAGAGACUGGCUCUUCAUUAUUCACUCAAGGCUGAGUGCUUCAAUUCUCAAAAAACAAUUCUUGAUCUCACUGCAGAGCACCAAGAUACUAAAACUCGCUUCAGAAUAAAUGGAAAAAUUGUUGCAAAUUUCUUUGGUACUUCAGGUUAAAAUCCAGCUGUGAUUUCAGGUUUAAAGUUUAGACAACUUCUGCUUUUUCAUUCUUCUGAGCAUCUUGGUGCAUGAUGCACUCAGUUGUGUCCAGCACCCAGCAUAGCUAUAACUUAUUUUUAUUUAUCUGCUUCUUCUGACCACAAAAACAAGCCUGGCCAACAUCCCUAGAAAAGGUUGGGUCAAGUUGACUAUAAUAAGCAAACCUUACAAAGUUAAUGCAAAUAAGACUUGCAGAGUCUAUUACACUGAGUACCUUAGUGAGUGAUCCAAGCUGAGAUGAAACUUUCUGGGAAUGUGCACUGGGCUAAACCAGAACCAGUUAUCCUUGGACCCCCUGUGAGCCUGAAAAGUUAAUUCCUAACUUCUGUUAUUUUUUUUCUAUUCUAGCGAAAGCUUUUGCUUUGAAACUUGGAGUCACACUAUGAUCCCUGUUUUUAUUACUAAGCAAGAAAUUUAUGACUCUUGGAUAUAAAGAUGAGAUGAAAAUGUAACCAAACCCAUUACAAAGACUCAAAAAUAUAAAUACGAAAUACAAGCAAUGCUUUUUUUUUUUUAAGUUACAAGGCAAGUUCCAUCAGCUUGUGAAGAAAUCCCUUCAUUUGAGAUGAAAUAUAGGUCAUGAUUUCUGAGUCCUUGGGCUUGGCAGCAUGAUUUUUGGCCUGUAGCUCAAAAUGGAGCUGGCCAUCUGCACUUUGGGAAUCCAUUACUGUUGUCAAAUCACACAGGGUAUUAUAGCAACUGCCCAAAGCAAAACAAAACCAAACCAAAAUACUUCAGGAUACUAUAGCCAUUAUAACCAUCUGCCUAUCUAUUUAUAAACUAGUUUGCUGAGGUACUGCACACAUUCUGGAGGCAAUAAGUUGCCAUUCCUGUUUAUUUUUGCAGGUGUCCUUGAAGCAUGUUUAAAAAAAGCAAAAACGGCAGAGGGUUGAGAAGGGGAGAACUUGUUUGCUGCACUGAGUGAGAGAGUAGGUCCUUUCUUCAGAGGCUGAAAAAUGAUACAUCAACUGCAGUGAAGAAUUUCUGGAGCUGGUUCAAUUCAUUUGACACUUUGGGGGAUACUAAUUGAGCAUUCAAUAGCUCAACACUGGGGGAGUGGGGUAAACCAAUCCAGGAAAGCCAUCAGCCAUGGGGAAACCAAUUUGCUCUCUCUAACUUAUUGUCCCUGUGUGUCAAAGGCGGUCCCAAGAGAUUCUACUUGUUGCUGACACAUUCCAGACAUCAUUUAAUUUUCCCACCUCUUUUUAAAAAUUAUUUCUUUAUUUUUAAACUGGCCAAAGCAGGCAAGAGACUUAAGUACCCAAGGGCAAGAGAGAAAUCUUAUGAAAGAAAUGUUGAGAAGAGAGGCAAGAUAGCCAACAAAGGGCAAAAGUGCCAAACCUGCUUGUUUCCACUGCUCUUGGAAUACUGUGCUGUCCAUUAAUGUAUGUGUGAACAAAUAAUAAGUGCAUCUGCAAAAAAGAUUAUUUACUUGACUGCUCUCUCUGCUGAUUGGAAAUAGAGCAGCUCUGUUGAACUCAUUAGAACUCUGUCUUUGUGGCUGCUGAGCUCACUCCAACACUGAGAUAGAGGGUCCUUGGAACACGAAGCUGUGAGAUAAAUGUUGCUAACCUGCUGGAGGAGUGGGGAUGUUCCAGAUGCUCCUUGCUCUCCAGCUGUGUUUGAAAAGCUACCAGAAAUGAAAGAAUUCCAGUAGAAGCAAAACCCUUUCUAUUUCUUCUCCAAACCAGAGUUAUCUGGCUGUCCCUGAGAGGAACAGUGAAGUCCCUUGACAGUGACAAACACUUUUCACAAAGCAGGUGAGCAUGCAGAACAACAGGCAUCUCCUAGAUGCAUUUGUUUUCCUUUCAUACAAUUAGAAAGGAAAACACACAAUUAUCACAUUUGCAUAAGUCUCUCAGCAGUUUCAAAGACAUUGCAUCAUCUCUUUCUCAUUUCCUGCAGGGAUAUUAUUGUCAUCUGGAAAAUUUAAGUCCACCUGACAAGAAAUUUUCUGGUUGAAACUAAUAGCAACACAGCAACAGCUUUCAAACAUUCUCUACAGUGCUUGGUUAGGAAGCCAGGAUUAAAGAUAUACUGUGUUUCUGUACUUCACUAAAAGCCUGCAGUUCAAUGUUUUAAAGCUUCUAAAAUUGUGUGCCAAUAGUAUCAUAUCUGUCACUGGCAACAGUAUUCAUGCUGCCAGUGGCAGAAUUCAGCUAUGGAGAACUUGCUGUGGUUUUCCUCGUGUUGUGGCAGAUCCACAGUAGGUCAUAAUUUCUCACAUACUAGGUAUUUUCCCUGAAAUUUCAACACAUGCAACUCUUCCUCACUUCUUUACAAAGUUUAGCAGGCCUGUCAACACCGUUACCCCAGGAUCUCACAUUAAUUAAUUUAUCCUCACAGCACUCCUUUGUUAGGUGCCAGAUCUUUCAGAGAGCUCAGACUCAAAUUUUUGAGUGCUCAACACCUAAACUGGAGCCAGAUUUUCCAAAAAACUGAGUUCUCUUUUAGUUUCUUAAAGAAGGUGCAAAUUUUUCAAAGUUUCCAACAACCCUAGCAGCAGUGCCUGCUGCCCAGAUUGUGUGAGAAGUCGAGGACUCAGUGUGCUGAACUUCUUCCCUACCUAUGAACAUUUUGGUGCCUGAAGGGGAGGUGAUUUCCUUGUGAAGUCUGGCUGUCAGAGUGGGAGGCUGAGCUCUUUUGAAAACCUGGAGUUCUAUUGUAAGGUUAUCACUGCUUUGCAGGGGACAAAGUGACAGCUCAGAGCGAGGGCCCAGAGCGAUGGAACAUUUGUGAAACAGGUGGAAAUGAGAUCAGGAUCCAGGCUGUCAAACCACCCAUUUCUGUCCAAGGAGCUGGGCUGGCUUGGGACAAAGUGUUCAGCUCCAGGGAGAGCUGUGUGUCACAGGCUGUGACGUGGGCACGGGCUAAAACACGAGCUCAACAGCAUCCUGGUGAUGACAGAGCUGCUGCAUGAGACACAGGGGAUGAGGCAGAGUGAAGCAAGUUCCUGGAAAGCCACAAGAUAA